rnacentral:rRNA from 1 species
UACAGAGGUCUCAAGCGUUGUUCGGAUUCAUUGGGCGUAAAGGGUGCGUAGGCGGCGCGGUAAGUCGGGUGUGAAAUCUCGGAGCUUAACUUCGAAACUGCAUUCGAUACUGCCGUGCUUGAGGACUGGAGAGGAGACUGGAAUUUACGGUGUAGCGGUGAAAUGCGUAGAUAUCGUAAGGAAGACCAGUGGCGAAGGCGGGUCUCUGGACAGUUCCUGACGCUGAGGCACGAAAGCUAGGGGAGCAAAUGGG